rnacentral:rRNA from 1 species
UACAGAGGGUGCGAGCGUUGUUCGGAAUUACUGGGCGUAAAGAGCUCGUAGGUGGUUUGUCGCGUUGUUCGUGAAAUCUCACGGCUUAACUGUGAGCGUGCGGGCGAUACGGGCAGACUGGAGUACUGCAGGGGAGACUGGAAUUCCUGGUGUAGCGGUGGAAUGCGCAGAUAUCAGGAGGAACACCGGUGGCGAAGGCGGGUCUCUGGGCAGUAACUGACGCUGAGGAGCGAAAGCGUGGGGAGCGAACAG